rnacentral:tRNA from 1 species
CGUUAAGAAGCUAACAGAAAGCAGCGCUAGCCUUUUAAGCUAGAGAUAGGUGACUCCGCCCACCCUUAGCGA